rnacentral:rRNA from 1 species
UGUCGUUUUGUUCACGCACAGGGAUCAUUACCGAGUUUACAACUCCCAAACCCUUAUGUGAACAUACCAAUCGUUGCUUCGGCGGACUCGCCCCGGUGUCCGGCAGGCCCUCGCGGCCGGCCGCGACCCGGAUCCAGGCGGACGCCGGAGACCAUCCAAAAACUCUUUGUAUUUUAGCAAGUCUUCUGAAUGAGCCGCAGGUCAACACAUAUGAAUCACAACUUUCAACAACGGAUCUCUUGGUUCUGCAUCGAUGAAGAACGCAGCGAAAUGCGAUAAGUAAUGUGAAUUGCAGAAUUCAGUGAUCAUCGAUCUUUGAACGCACAUUGCGCCCGCCAGCAUUCUGGCGGGCAUGCCUGUUCGAGCGUCAUUUCAACCCUCGAGCUCCCUUUGGGAGCCCGGCGUUGGGGACCGGCCUCUACCGCCGGCCCCGAAAUGAAGUGGCGGCCCGUCGCGGCGACCUCUGCGUAGUAACUCACUCGCACCGGAACCCCGACGUGGUCACGCCGUAAAACACCCAACUUUCUGAACGUUGACCUCGAAUCAGGUAGGAAUACCCGCUGAACUUAAGCAUAUCAAUAAGCGGAGGAAAAGAAACCAACAGGGAUUGCCCCAGUAACGGCGAGUGAAGCGGCAACAGCUCAAAUUUGAAAUCUGGUCCCCAGGGCCCGAGUUGUAAUUUGUAGAGGAUGCUUUUGGCGCGGUGCCUUCCGAGUUCCCUGGAACGGGACGCCAUAGAGGGUGAGAGCCCCGUCUGGUCGGAUACCUAGCCUCUGUAAAGCUCCUUCGACGAGUCGAGUAGUUUGGGAAUGCUGCUCAAAAUGGGAGGUAUAUGUCUUCUAAAGCUAAAUAUUGGCCAGAGACCGAUAGCGCACAAGUAGAGUGAUCGAAAGAUGAAAAGCACUUUGAAAAGAGGGUUAAAAAGUACGUGAAAUUGUUGAAAGGGAAGCGCCUAUGACCAGACUUGGGCCCGGUGAAUCAUCCAGCGUUCUCGCUGGUGCACUUUGCCGGGCACAGGCCAGCAUCAGUUUGGCGCGGGGGAUAAAGGCUUUGGGAAUGUGGCUCCCUCGGGAGUGUUAUAGCCCAUUGUGCAAUACCCUGCGCCGGCCUGAGGUACAGACAUGCAAGGUUGGCUGGAAGAAAAUCAUCAACGUAAG